GACGAACGCUGGCGGCGUGCUUAACACAUGCAAGUCGAACGGAAAGGCCCCUUCGGGGGUACUCGAGUGGCGAACAGGUGAGUAACACGUGAGUAACCUUCCCUUGACUUCGGGAUAACUUCAGGAAACUGGGGCUAAUACCGGAUAGGAAUCCUUGCUGCAUGGUGGGGGUUGGAAAGCUUCGGCGGUUUUGGAUGGACUCGCGGCUUAUCAGCUUGUUGGUGGGGUAGUGGCUUACCAAGGCUUUGACGGGUAGCCGGCCUGAGAGGGCGACCGGCCACAUUGGGACUGAGAUACGGCCCAGACUCCUACGGGAGGCAGCAGUGGGGAAUAUUGCACAAUGGGCGGAAGCCUGAUGCAGCAACGCCGCGUGCGGGAUGACGGCCUUCGGGUUGUAAACCGCUUUCAGCAGGGGCGAAGCUUGUGGUGACGGUACCUGCAGAAGAAGCACCGGCUAACUACGUG
rnacentral:rRNA from 1 species